UCUGCGAUAGCUCAGUUGAUAGAGCAUGAGACUCUUAAUCUCAUGUUUGUGGGUUCAAGCCCCAACAUUUGGCAAAA